AGCGAACGCUGGCGGCAGGCCUAACACAUGCAAGUCGAACGAACCUUUCGGGGUUAGUGGCGGACGGGUGAGUAACACGUGGGAACGUGCCUUUAGGUUCGGAAUAACUCAGGGAAACUUGUGCUAAUACCGAAUGUGCCCUUCGGGGGAAAGAUUAAUCGCCUUUAGAGCGGCCCGCGUCUGAUUAGCUAGUUGGUUGAGGUAAUGGCUCACCAAGGCGACGAUCAGUAGCUGGUCUGAGAGGAUGAUCAGCCACAUUGGGACUGAGACACGGCCCAAACUCCUACGGGAGGCAGCAGUGGGGAAUCUUGCGCAAUGGGCGAAAGCCUGACGCAGCCAUGCCGCGUGAAUGAUGAAGGUCUUAGGAUUGUAAAAUUCUUUCACCGGGGACGAUAAUGACGGUACCCGGAGAAGAAGCCCCGGCUAACUUAGUG
rnacentral:rRNA from 1 species